ACACAAUCUUAAAAUCUUUUCCAUCUUAGAAAAAUUUUUCCAAGUAUUCUUUUGCUUUUAUUAAAACUUAUAAAAGAUAACGGAAUGUAUUUUAUAGACUGGAUAUUAUCUACUCCCCCUUCCUCCUCCAGGCUGCUCUCAGUUUAGUAGUUAUCAGUUUUUACUGUUAGAUUUAAUUAUGCAGUAUCAAAAUAUUCCCUAGUAAAUUAGCUUGCUGAAUAUUCUGUCACUAUUAUGUUUACCCCUUUGAUAAAUAGCUUAAUUACAGAAAACUAUUU
rfam:Choloepus hoffmanni cont1.84530, whole genome shotgun sequence.